rnacentral:rRNA from 1 species
GGGACACGUGGUAUCCUGUCUGAAUAUGGGGGGACCAUCCUCCAAGGCUAAAUACUCCUGACUGACCGAUAGUGAACCAGUACCGUGAGGGAAAGGCGAAAAGAACCCCGGCGAGGGGAGUGAAAAAGAACCUGAAACCGUGUACGUACAAGCAGUGGGAGCACCUUCGGGUGUGACUGCGUACCUUUUGUAUAAUGGGUCAGCGACUUAUAUUCUGUAGCAAGGUUAACCGUAUAGGGGAGCCGCAGGGAAACCGAGUCUUAACUGGGCGUUAAGUUGCAGGGUAUAGACCCGAAACCCGGUGAUCUAGCCAUGGGCAGGUUGAAGGUUGGGUAACACUAACUGGAGGACCGAACCGACUAAUGUUGAAAAAUUAGCGGAUGACUUGUGGCUGGGGGUGAAAGGCCAAUCAAACCGGGAGAUAGCUGGUUCUCCCCGAAAGCUAUUUAGGUAGCGCCUCGUGAAUUCAUCUUCGGGGGUAGAGCACUGUUUCGGCUAGGGGGUCAUCCCGACUUACCAACCCGAUGCAAACUACGAAUACCGAAGAAUGUUAUCACGGGAGACACACGGCGGGUGCUAACGUCCGUCGUGAAGAGGGAAACAACCCAGACCGCCAGCUAAGGUCCCAAAGUCAUGGUUAAGUGGGAAACGAUGUGGGAAGGCACAGACAGCCAGGAUGUUGGCUUAGAAGCAGCCAUCAUUUAAAGAAAGCGUAAUAGCUCACUGGUCGAGUCGGCCUGCGCGGAAGAUGUAACGGGGCUAAACCAUGCACCGAAGCUGCGGCAGCGACACUAUGUGUUGUUGGGUAGGGGAGCGUUCUGUAAGCCUGCGAAGGUGACCUGUGAGGGUUGCUGGAGGUAUCAGAA